CUAGAUUAGUUUAACAUGUGAAAUGUCCGUAAAGUAUCAUCAUAUGAUUGGAUUUAGGGCACAUUUCCAACAUGCACAUGACAGGUUAAAAAUCAUUAUUCCCACAGAUUUUAGUUAUCUUCACACUUGAGCACAUACUUAAUCACAGUCACCACUUACUAGUUCUCAUUUAACCAAUUAAAAUGAUGUUUUGAAUGUAGUAACAUGCCUUAGAAAUUUGCUCAAUUCCUUACAAGAUACUCUCUAUUUUCACACAUUUUCUUACUACACACCCUACACUAGUUAUAUGUGAGAAGAUUGAUGUAAACAUGAAAACGAACACUCACAUAUAUGUGUUACAAAGAAAGCAAUUUCUGGAAUUAUUAAGCAUGUUUAGAUAUGAUCUCAUGAAUGGAAUGCUACUACUUAGAUGCGAGAACCAGUGACACCAUAUGCUCAUACCAAAUUCAAACUUCACAAAUUGAAACACAUAACACUCAAGAUAGAAGUCAAGGGUUGUAAUGAGGCUUGGGGUAAUGGUUAACAAAGGAAAGAUAGGGAUAACAAACGUUCCUAAGGCAAUAGCAAGCAAAGGAAAGAAAUCGAAACUUAGAAUUCACUUUAGAAUGCAGAAAUCAACUUUUAACACAAAGGGAAGAUUUGAGCAAUACUUAGGGCCGAAUUCAAUGUUUUGGACCCCUUCUUCAACAAACAACACUUUAGAACUCUUUUCAUACAUUUUCACAACUUUUUUUUUUUUUUUUUCGACCCAUGCCUUAUUAAGGACUUUGGCACACACACACACAAGAAUCACUUCCCCCACACUUGUUUUCUGCAAUACAUUAAUCAAAAGGAAUUCAAUU
rnacentral:lncRNA from 1 species